rnacentral:sRNA from 1 species
AUCAAGAAUAUGAGGCCGGGCGCGGUGGCUCACGCCUGUAAUCCCAGCUCUCAGGGAGGCAGAGGCGGGAGGAUAGCUUGAGCCCAGGAGUUCGAGACCUGCCUGGGUAAUAUAGCGAGACCCCGUUCUCCACAAAAAG